GGUUAUGGCUUGGUGGUAAAGCAAUCGCUUAGCAUGUGGAAGGCCCUGGGUUCGAUCCUCAGCACCA
rnacentral:tRNA from 1 species